GUCAGUGUAAACAUUCUGAACUUAAUAUUGAAUGGAUAGUCUUCUUGAACAAUAGUUCAUUCACCCUUUUUGCCCAGGCAUUGAAAUGCCUAUUAAGAGAGAGGAGGAAAGAGUUAGAAUGAGAAGCAGAGGAAAAGAUACAUUUUUGUCCACCAAAUCCUUUUCAAGUCUGUUUGAGCUCUAGCACUGCAGCCACCCACUGAGAGAUCAUAGCAGAAUUCAACUUCUUGUGGAUGGACUGCAGCAAGUCCUUUUGCAGUUGUAUUCAUCAAAGUGCUAUGCAGAAAUAAUGGGAUUAGAUUUAAAAAAUACAUUUCACACUUGAGCAGGAACUCAUCAAGGACAUGACUGUUGGAAUAACAGUUACGGGUGACCAAAACCAAUGCGGAGUGCUGCAGCUGCUUCUGCGGGACAGGACGACCCCUAUGUGUCCUGCUCAGAGACAGAGCUCCCAUGAGACAUGAGAGAGGAUGAAUACUCUCUCCUUGCACCACACCGGCUCUCCCAGCACACCCCGUUUUCUCUCCAUCGCCUGGAUGGAGUCUGAGGCAGCCACAAGCACCGGCUGCAACAGUAAUUGGAACAUAAUGGAACAUUUUUGCCGACUGAACUGAACCCUUUGCCCCUAUCACCUUCUGAACCACUCGCAAAAUAGGCCCACACUCCACAGCCUACUGUGCACACACACACACACACACACACACACACACACACACACACACACACACACACACACACACCUCAGUGCUGAUUGACCACUUUGGCAGGAAUCAUACAAGCACAUCCCACACACAAUGUACACCAAAAACUGAGAAACACAUGUAUGGUUUUCAGAGUUUAUCUCUUUACUCUUUUUUUCAAGAGUUCUACAAAAGAUGCCACAAAAUACUGUACAUUAUGAGGAGAUGUUCACUGGUGGGACUGAGUGAAAAUCAUGUUAAAUUAUGUUAAUUUUUAAUGAUAAAUAAAAUCCAAUUAAUUCUACCGCUGAUGUGGACAGAAGAAUAUACUAUAAUACUCUGAUCCCUACAUUAAUAUUCAGCACAAAUCAUACAGUGAAGUCUGAUUCCCGAGUGAAAGACUUUUAUGAGACGGUUCAUUUUACUGAAUCAAAAAGCUAAAGACUCAUAUGAACUGGUUCUUUUUAGUGAAUUAAAAUCACAUUUUUGAAUCACUUAAUCUGAUCUGCUUACUGAACUCAAAUCAAAAGAAACAUUAACAGAACUAUAACCCCAAAAUAUUUAUUUAUUUUUUCAAAAAUGAAAAAUUUCUUCCUUCAGCGGAACAAAAAAUACAUUUUGAAGAAUGGAGGUAACAAAACCAUUUUGGUGACUAAAACCACUGAGACAUUUCUCAAAAGACCUUUUAUAUUUCUCAGAUGAAAGAAAGUCACACAGGUUUGGAACGACAUGAGGGUGGAACAUUUAUGACAUUUCAUUUUUGGAUAAACUAUCCCUUUAAGCAACAAUAAUUAUUCAACUCUUUACGGUUGUGUCAUAUUACACUUAAUACACAACUAUUGCUAUUUUAAAAUGUUAUUAAUGAAUUGCC
ensembl:lncRNA